UGCAACGACUAUAUUAACAACUCAAACUAAAUUCAAUAAUUAUAACACUACUUCGAUCAUGAUGAUCCUUGUGAGGUUUACUCACCUUAUUUCCUGCAUGUAACUGCCAUGACACCAAAAUUAAUUUCCUCACUCGUUUCGUCGGUCACCUAAUAGCAUGAUAAAAUGUUUAGAAAACGAUACGUAAAAUAUCAGGUGACGAUUUCAUUACAGCUAAACACUGCUCGUGAUUUACUGUUCACAUAACACUAUUGACGAACAUUGUUCACAAUUACUGUUCAUGCGCUGCCACUAUUUUCCGACCACCACCAAUGACCACUACAUUUCAUCACCACAAUCUAAAUGACAUUCAUAACAACUUUUUAGUUCACCAUAAAGUUCAAUUUCGAGCCUAAACGCUUCAAUUUAACAAAAAUUGAAAAGCCCCAAUUUAAAACAUAUGAUUUCUUUUCUUCGAUUCUCUUAGCACAAAACGAUUUAGGUUAAAUGGUUUGGAGGGUUUGUAUUAUGGAAGGAGACCUUCAAAAUGGGACAAGAAUCUCACCGAUUGGUGGCCGGAAGAGGGAGAUCCGGCGAGGUGUAGUUCGACAAAAUGUGCUCUUUCAGGAGAACUUCUGGGCUUCACCGCUCCCAGACGGCGGCGAGAUGGCGGGUGACGUUGCCACCAAUCGACAAGGAACGCUACAACCUUUCAAACGGGACCGGUGCGCCACUCUAUGGUGGCCGGACGACGGAGAUCUGGCGGGCCAAAGUCGGCCGCUCGGGAGGGAAAAAUCUGGGUUUUUCGGGGGUGAACAGUGUUCCCCUAUUUAUACUAUUUUUCAAAAAUGUCCAAAUACCUUUUGAUUCGUAACUUAUUCAUACGAACUCCACUUUAGGCGUGCCGCAUGUCCACAAAUUCGUAUUGACGAACUCUACGAUUUUCAUGAAUGAAGUUUUCUGAUAUUCCUAACGGAUAAAAAGUCAACUCUUGACCCGUCACGGUAACGUUUCUGUGUAUAAAUCAAUCAAACACUUUUGUUUUCUCCCUCGUACUAUAUAAUCGGAUCACCACCAAUUUAAAUAUAUCCGAACAAUAAUUAUAAAAUAAUUAUAAAUUUCCGGGAUAUUACGGAUGAGGAAUGUAAGCGAAAUUAAAUAAAAUUAUAUUUGCAUAGUGUUAUUCAUUACUUUGUCCAUGCAUGAUUGUUUCUAUGCUAUUAUUUAUGUUUACUACAUUUUUGUUUUCGUUGUUAUUCAAUUACUUAACCACCUUUCUAUAUAAAAAUAAAUAAAAGUUAUCCCCUAUUUUGAGCUUAUGAGAGUGGAGUUGACUUAUUAACGUACAAUACUUCUUUCUAUUUAUAGGAACACUGCAAGGAAGAUAUUUCCCAAUUAAGAAAAGAAGUCAAAGGGUGAAUGCUGGUGUCAGGAGACGUGUUUCAUUGUAUUUAUCUGGUUGGCGGAAGGCAAAAUCAAAAAAAGAAUAUUAUCGAUGGUGUUUCAAUCUACUCAACUGGUCACUGCAAAAGAAUAUGGGUGUAAUUGAAUAUUGUUGAUCUAAGGAAAUUGAUUCUCAAAGAGUGGAACAAAAAGAAAGAAGAGCAGUAUGUAUUUUGCAUCUCCUUUCAAUUCAAAUAUAUAUUUGAAACAUAUUUAAUUGUAUUUGCAUGUGAAAACUACAGCUUGCGGUACGAAAAUGCUAAGGAGGAAGUGAAGACUUGCACAAGAUCUCAAAUCAAACAAACAUGGAAAAAAGUUUGGCGAAUUAGGAGAACAAUUCAUCAAGUGAACCAAAGUGUCCUAGAUAAGUUCUACAUCGAGCAUGAGAGGAAGAUGAAGCGUAUAGAGGAUCUGAAGUGUAUGAAAUAGUUCAAGCGCAUAGAGGUGUUGAAGCGUAUUCUUGAGGUAAGUAUGAGAUUAAUUGAUACAUAUACUAUACUUGAUCAAAUACUAUAAUGUCUAACAAUUUUUAUUUCAUACGUCUCCUCUUUGGAUAAUUGAAGUAAGAGUGUGGCAUUAAAUGAAUUAUCUAAAUGCAUGGUACGUGCUCUACUUAAUAAAAUUAUUUCAUUUCAUUUAUGGGCGACCAAGAUCACUUUCUUAUGUUCUAGCUACUCUACAUUUGUAGUCUGAGCAACGACUGUUAACAAACGGG